GAUGAACGCUAGCGAUAGGCCUAACACAUGCAAGUCGAGGGGCAGCACAUGAGUAGCAAUACGAUGGUGGCGACCGGCGCACGGGUGAGUAACACGUAUGCAACCUACCUUUAACAGGGGAAUAACCCGUUGAAAAACGGACUAAUACUCCAUAACACAGGGGUCCCGCAUGGGAAUAUUUGUUAAAGAUUUAUCGGUUGAAGAUGGGCAUGCGUUCCAUUAGCUUGUUGGUGAGGUAACGGCUCACCAAGGCUACGAUGGAUAGGGGAACUGAGAGGUUUAUCCCCCACACUGGAACUGAGACACGGUCCAGACUCCUACGGGAGGCAGCAGUGAGGAAUAUUGGUCAAUGGAGGCAACUCUGAACCAGCCAAGUCGCGUGAAGGAUGAAGGUCUUAUGGAUUGUAAACUUCUUUUGCAAGGGAAUAAAGUGGGGACGUGUCCUCCUUUGUAUGUACCUUGCGAAUAAGGAUCGGCUAACUCCGUGCCAGCAGCCGCGGUAAU
rnacentral:rRNA from 1 species